UACGUAGGGGGCAAGCGUUGUCCGGAUUUAUUGGGCGUAAAGAGCGUGUAGGCGGCCAGGUAGGUUGGUUGUGAAAACUAGAGGCUCAACCUCUAGACGUCGACCGAAACCAUCUGGCUAGAGUCCGGAAGAGGAGAGUGGAAUUCCUGGUGUAGCGGUGGAAUGCGCAGAUAUCAGGAGGAACACCGGUGGCGAAGGCGGAUCUCUGGGCCUUACCUGACGCUGAGGAGCGAAAGCAUGGGGAGCAAACAGG
rnacentral:rRNA from 1 species